AGCUCUGCUUCUUGGUUUUCCCAUUUCUGAAAUUGGCCUGUCACAUCAGUGGGAGCUCGAAGAAUAUCCUUCACAUUUAAAAAGAAUUCCUACAAAA